AACGAACGCUGGCGGCAGGCUUAACACAUGCAAGUCGAACGCCCCGCAAGGGGAGUGGCAGACGGGUGAGUAACGCGUGGGAAUCUACCCAACUCUACGGAAUAACUCAGGGAAACUUGUGCUAAUACCGUAUACGCCCUUCGGGGGAAAGAUUUAUCGGAGUUGGAUGAGCCCGCGUUGGAUUAGCUAGUUGGUGGGGUAAAGGCCUACCAAGGCGACGAUCCAUAGCUGGUCUGAGAGGAUGAUCAGCCACAUUGGGACUGAGACACGGCCCAAACUCCUACGGGAGGCAGCAGUGGGGAAUAUUGGACAAUGGGCGCAAGCCUGAUCCAGCCAUGCCGCGUGAGUGAUGAAGGCCCUAGGGUUGUAAAGCUCUUUCACCGGUGAAGAUAAUGACGGUAACCGGAGAAGAAGCCCCGGCUAACUUCGUGCCAGCAGCCGCGGUAAUACGAAGGGGGCUAGCGUUGUUCGGAAUUACUGGGCGUAAAGCGCACGUAGGCGGGUAUUUAAGUCAGGGGUGAAAUCCCGGAGCUCAACUCCGGAACUGCCUUUGAUACUGGGUACCUAGAGUAUGGAAGAGGUAAGUGGAAUUCCGAGUGUANAGGUGAAAUUCNUANAUAUUCNGAGGAACACCANUGGCGAANGCGGNUUACNUGGUCCAUUACUGACNCUGAGGUGCNNAAAGCGNGGGGGAGCAAACCUAANCGCANNUNAACCCUGCCGCCUNGGAAUGGANGGUGAGCNAGAUUAAAACUCAAAGAAAUUGACGGGGGGCCCGCNCAANCGGGNAGCAUGUGGGUUUNAUUNGAANCAACGCGCAGAGCNUUNNCAGCCCUUGACAUCCCGAUNGCGGUUAGGNAGACACUUUCCUUCAGUUCGGCUGGAUCGGAGACAGGUGCUGCAUGGCUGUCGUCAGCUCGUGUCGUGAGAUGUUGGGUUAAGUCCCGCAACGAGCGCAACCCUCGCCCUUAGUUGCCAGCAUUCAGUUGGGCACUCUAAGGGGACUGCCGGUGAUAAGCCGAGAGGAAGGUGGGGAUGACGUCAAGUCCUCAUGGCCCUUACGGGCUGGGCUACACACGUGCUACAAUGGUGGUGACAGUGGGCAGCGAGACAGCGAUGUCGAGCUAAUCUCCAAAAGCCAUCUCAGUUCGGAUUGCACUCUGCAACUCGAGUGCAUGAAGUUGGAAUCGCUAGUAAUCGCGGAUCAGCAUGCCGCGGUGAAUACGUUCCCGGGCCUUGUACACACCGCCCGUCACACCAUGGGAGUUGGUUUUACCCGAAGGCGAUGCGCUAACCGCAAGGAGGCAGUCGACCACGGUAGGGUCAGCGACUGGGGUGAAGUCGUAACAAGGUAACC
rnacentral:rRNA from 1 species